rfam:Streptococcus sp. HSISB1 chromosome, whole genome shotgun sequence.
AUUUGUCGUCUGCUUUAGUUGAAAUAUUGUCCAACUAAGGUUUGCAGCAGUUAAAUCA